UACUCAAUUUCUAGCAAAAUGUAUAAAGAAAUAUACAUACAUAAUAGAAUUUUAAAUCUUUUUUUGUCAUGAGAAAACUAAUGUUUUUGAUAAGUAUCAUUUGGAUAAUGUUGCAAAACGAAGAAUGGUGUAUAAAUCAAGUCUCUGCAGCUGGUUGUGGUCUAGGAAAGGAAUUUAGAUAUUUUGCUUGCUUAAACUGUUAUGAAAAUUACUACAAAGAUACAGAAGGAAACACUGACUGUAUUAAGUGUCCUCGUCACAAAGAAACAUCUAUAAAUGGGGCUACCUCAGUUUCGGAUUGCA
rnacentral:sRNA from 1 species